rnacentral:rRNA from 1 species
CCUACGGGGGGCUGCAGUGAGGAAUAUUGGUCAAUGGGCGAGAGUCUGAACCAGCCAAGUAGCGUGAAGGAUGACUGCCCUAUGGGUUGUAAACUUCUUUUAUAUGGGAAUAAAAUGUUCCACGUGUGGGAUUUUGUAUGUACCAUAUGAAUAAGGAUCGGCUAACUCCGUGCCAGCAGCCGCGGUAAUACGGAGGAUCCGAGCGUUAUCCGGAUUUAUUGGGUUUAAAGGGAGCGUAGGUGGAUUGUUAAGUCAGUUGUGAAAGUUUGCGGCUCAACCGUAAAAUUGCAGUUGAAACUGGCAGUCUUGAGUACAGUAGAGGUGGGCGGAAUACGUGGUGUAGCGGUGAAAUGCUUAGAUAUCACGAAGAACUCCGAUUGCGAAGGCAGUUCACUGGACUGCAACUGACACUGAGGCUCGAAAGUGUGGGUAUCAAACAGGAUUAGAUACCCUUGUAGUC